GACUCGGGUUGCCUGUGGAGAGAUGACUGUGAUGGCUGCCAAACUGAUUCGAGGCUUGUUGAUGCAGAGGAGGUGACUGCUGGUGCCCGUGUCUGGUGUAGACUACUCCGCUCCUUGGUCCUUAAUGUAUGAGAAGCAAUUGCUGUAAGUGUUACAAGAUCUGUUUACUGCUCUGGGAUAUUAUUAACUUUGAAAAAAGAAUGCCUGUAUGGAGAAAACAACCUUACCUGACAACUUUGAUGUAAGAAGAGCCUUCUCCCUUUGACUGCUCCAGCGAUGCUGCAGCGUUAUGUGGGUGCGUUCAACCCUUUCAUCCCUUCAGUCAGUGCUAUAUAACAUUUACAUGUCUCAGAAAUGUGACAUAUGUACAGUACAUGUGUGAGAGGGUGGGUAGACUAGUCUUUCAAAGAUUAUUCAAAAAAGCAGGAUGUUUUUGUCAACCAGGAAAGAUUAGAGUAUUUUACAGCUAGAGUAGAGAAAUAUUUUUCAUGUGAUUAGAAAAACCAUUAUUAUUAAAAUACUUAUUUACUUACUUAUUUAAAUUAAUGCAGACCCAUUCCUGACCAGAAGUGGAACUGAGGGGCCAGGCUGCGCCCUGUGGGGGGGCCGCCGGAACCCUCUAGAACCUUCUGGAAGCAGCCAGGGCCUUUCCUGACAGAGCCCCGCGGCUGAUGCCUGGACACCUGCACCAGGUGCUGGUAACUGCCUCCUGCCUGAAUCGGUGCCAGCACUGACCAGCCAGUACGAUAAAUACCAUUUCUGUGCCCCUUUCUGUAUGCUCCCAGAGGCUAUGGAAAUACGAGAGACAGGCAGCCAUGCGGGGGCUGAGAGGAAAGCUCAGGCGAGCUGGGGAAGGAGCAUGGCACAGGUCAGCAGCACAACGCUGGUGGCAAAAGGCUGUGGAAAUGAAGAGUCCCAGCACCAAGCAGGAGGAAAAAGCAGCACCUGCUGCCUGCAGAGCCCAGGAGGAUGGAUCCUGUCCCAGGGAGCACGAAGAAGCUGCUUUGUGAAAGCCAGCAGCUUUCCUGAAGGAAAAGCUGAUCCAUCAGACCUCCUGUAUCUAAAAUGGGAUGAAAGAAAAUGAUGGACCUAUUUCUAUGCUGGUGUUUCUCAGCCUUCUGCAAUGGGAGAGUCGAGAGAAACUGAGUUAUAUCCUGCAAGACAAGCUGGAGAGAAGGAAUUUUGAGUGCUCCUGGCAACCCUAACCUUUCCUGCCAAAGAGGAACUGGUGGAAAAAG
rnacentral:lncRNA from 1 species